UUUCUCUGCCCAUUAUCCCCACAACUCAGUCUCCUAGAAACCUGGUAGUGCUCUCAAAUUCAGUUAAUGCUUGCAAUCAGUUGACGACGGUUCCCCACGCUCCCGUAAUUGUUGGUCUGAUGAAUCUGUUCUCACCCACCUAUAAAUCUGUCGUCGCAUCUCUACAAUAAUUAUGAAUUGCCAGAUCAAAAGGAAAAAAUAGGUGAAUGAAGAUAGUAGACACGUCCCUACGAUUGAAGGAGCGAGCAGGGUUUGAUUAGAAAUAUUUGAAACCUUGAGCAGAAGAAACCAAAAUAGCUUUCUCCAAAGUCAACGAAAUCGUUUCCUCAAAUCCCCUCCUCAUAUCCAGGUUUCCCCUCUUUCCAUUAUGAUUAUGAUUCAAUAUUUUAGAUUUUGUUUAUGUUGUUUUGGUUAUCCACUUUCGU
rnacentral:lncRNA from 1 species